UGGGGAAUAUUGGACAAUGGGCGCAAGCCUGAUCCAGCCAUGCCGCGUGUGUGAAGAAGGCCUCUUGGUUGUAAAGCACUUUAAGUGAGGAGGAGGCUACUUGGAUUAAUACUCUAAGAUAGUGGACGUUACUCGCAGAAUAAGCACCGGCUAACUCUGUGCCAGCAGCCGCGGUAAUACAGAGGGUGCGAGCGUUAAUCGGAUUUACUGGGCGUAAAGCGUGCGUAGGCGGCUUCUUAAGUCGGAUGUGAAAUCCCUGAGCUUAACUUAGGAAUUGCAGUCGAUACUGGGAAGCUGGAGUAUGGGAGAGGAUGGUAGGCUUCCAGGUGUAGCGGUGAAAUGCGUAGAGAUCUGGAGGAAUACCGGUGGCGAAGGCAGCCAUCUGGCCUACUACUGACGCUGAGGUACGAAAGCAUGGGGGGCAAACAGG
rnacentral:rRNA from 1 species